AUGUACCAACGUACACUUCGGUUCCUCCCGCGCCGUCCGCACCCACCUGACAACUGCUCGCUAAGUUUUGUUAGCC
rnacentral:sRNA from 1 species